rnacentral:rRNA from 1 species
AUUGAACGCUGGCGGCAGGCCUAACACAUGCAAGUCGAACGAGUGGCGGACGGGUGAGUAAUGUCUGGGAAACUGCCUGAUGGAGGGGGAUCACUACUGGAAACGGUAGCUAAUACCGCAUACCAUCGGAUGUGCCCAGAUGGGAUGGGCUAGUAGGUGGGGUAACGGCUCACAUAGGCGACGAUCCCUAGCUGGUCUGAGAGGAGGACCAGCAACACUGGAACUGAGACCCGGUCCAGACGCCGACGGGAGGCACCAGGGGGGAAUAUUGCACAAGGGGCGAAAGCCUGAUGCAGCCAGGCCGCUUGUAUGAAGAAGGCUUUCGGGUUGUAAAGUACUUUCAGCGGGGAGGCGUUACCCGCAGAAGAAGCACCGGCUAACUCCGUGCCAGCAGCCGCGGUAAUAC